rnacentral:rRNA from 1 species
UACGUAGGGGGCUAGCGUUGUCCGGAAUCAUUGGGCGUAAAGCGCACGUAGGCGGAUUUGCCAGUCAGGGGUGAAAUCCCGGGGCUCAACCUCGGAACUGCCUCUGAUACAGCAAGUCUUGAGUCCGGAAGAGGUGGGUGGAAUUCCUAGUGUAGAGGUGAAAUUCGUAGAUAUUCGGAAGAACACCAGUGGCGAAGGCGGCUCACUGGCCCGGUACUGACGCUGAGAUACGAAAGCGUGGGGAGCAAACAGG